rnacentral:rRNA from 1 species
GACGAACGCUGGCGGCGUGCUUAACACAUGCAAGUCGAACGGAAAGGCCCUGCUUGCAGGGUACUCGCGUGGCGAACGGGUGAGUAACACGUGGGUGUUCUGCCCUGCACUUCGGGAUAAGCCUUGGAAACUGGGUCUAAUACCGGAUAGGAGCCAUUUUUCGUGUGGUGGUUGGAAAGUUUUUUCGGUGUGGGAUGAGCUUGCGGCCUGUCAGCUUGUUGGUGGGGUAAUGGCCUACCAAGGCAGCGACGGGUAGCCGGCCUGGGAGGGUGGACGGGCACAUUGGGGCUGGGAUACGGCCCAGACUCCUACGGGAGGCAGCAGGGGGGAAUAUUGCACAAUGGGGGCGAGCCUGAUGCAGCGACGCCGCGUGGGGGAUGACGGCCUUCGGGUUGUAAACUCCUUUCGCUAGGGACGAAGCUGUGUGUGACGGUACCUAGAUAAGAAGCACCGGCUAACUACGUG